AUUGAACGCUGGCGGAAUGCUUUACACAUGCAAGUCGAACGGCAGCACGGACUUCGGUCUGGUGGCGAGUGGCGAACGGGUGAGUAAUGUAUCGGAACGUGCCCAGUCGUGGGGGAUAACGUAGCGAAAGCUACGCUAAUACGGCAUACGAUCUAUGGAUGAAAGCGGGGGAUCGCAAGACCUCGCGCGAUUGGAGCGGACGAUGUCAGAUUAGGUAGUUGGUGAGGUAAAGGCUCACCAAGCAAACGAUCUGUAGCUGGUCUGAGAGGACGACCAGCCACACUGGGACUGAGACACGGCCCAGACUCCUACGGGAGGCAGCAGUGGGGAAUUUUGGACAAUGGGCGCAAGCCUGAUCCAGCCAUUCGGCGUGCAGGACGAAGGCCUUCGGGUUGUAAACUGCUUUUGUACGGAACGAAAAGGCUCUGGUUAAUACCUGGGGCUCAUGACGGUACCGUAAGAAUAAGCACCGGCUAACUACGUGCCAGCCGCCGCCGUAA
rnacentral:rRNA from 1 species